rnacentral:lncRNA from 1 species
GGACAAAUCAAUCUCAAUCAAUGUGCAUGACCUUUUACCAUUAAACCCUUUUCUACUACUUAUAUCCUCUUUUUCUUUUCACCCCCCAUACAUUUCUCAAUCUGUUUUAUCUUUCUAAAUCUCUUUCUCUCUCUCAAUCUCUCUCAAUAAGAUGUCAUUGAUUCCAUCUAAAACUGAGAGCCCAAAGCUCACUAGUUGGGAGAUCCAACCAUUCGCAAAAAAGGUGAAGAAGGAGUCAUUGCAAAUCAGAAUUCAACCAGAAAAAGAAUGGAAUGGUUUAAUAUUACUGAUCGAGUGCAAAAAUAUUUUGGUAUAAGU